CUCGGUGACGACAACCUUCUCAUCGAGAUCCUCCUCCGCCUCCCCUCGAAUCCGUCCUCGCUCCCCCGUGCAUCUACCGUAUGCAAGCGCUGGGGCAGCAUCCUCUCCGAUCCCCAGUUCCGCAAACGCUUCCGCAAGCACCACCGGAAGCCUCCUCUGCUCGGCUUCUUUGAAGGGUAUGCUGACCGCUUCACUUCCAUCAUGGACUCGCCCGACCGUAUCACCGCGGACUGCUUCUCCCUGCCCAAGAGAAGCACACCAUACAGCAACCAUGGAGAAUACAUGGGCUGCCGCCACGGCCUUGCUGUUGUAAUCAACGAGCAGGUGCGCCAGGCCGUCGUGUGGGACCCCCUCACUAGCCAACAGCACAACGUGGCUUUUCCACCAGGACUAGACGACGCCUUUACAGAGAGUUUCUGUAUGUGGCAUGGCGCGGUGUUGUGCGCUGAUGCCGUUGACGGGCCUGUGCAUGGAGAUUGCUUCUCGAGCCCGUUUAAAUUGGUUUUGGUCUGCUGCGGUGGAUACAAUACGCAGGCAUUUUGUUCUGUCUACGACUCGGCAUCUGGUGUUUGGGGAGGUGUUUUCUCGACCGCGAUAUCACGUACAAUUUCUCUGUUAAGGCCGAGCAUCCUAGUUGGGAAUGAGCUUUGCUGGUUGAUUUCUAGAGGUGAUAUACUUGUGCUUGAUGUCGAAAUUCAGAGCCUCAGUUUCAUCGAGAAGCCGGCAUGCAACUAUAUUUCUGAUGGGUGUUUUCAAAUCUUACGAAUGGAUGAUGGUGGACUUGGCCUCGCCAUUUUGUUGGACCUGACCAUCCAAUUAUGGGAGAGGAAAUCUAAUUGUGAUGGUGUUGUCGAAUGGGCGAUGCUGCAGAAAACCAUUCCACUAGAGGGGAUAUUUCCAAGGAUAAUGCAUUCUUUAUUUUUUGUCGGUUAUGACGAGGACACAAAUGUGAUUGUUCUCACUACGACGACUGGAAAUUUCACACUCGAACUUGACACUAUGAAGAUCAAACGUAUUGUU
rnacentral:rRNA from 1 species